CGCGUAGGCGGGCCAUCAAGUCGGGGGUGAAAUCGUUCGGCCCAACCGGACAAGGGCCCCCGAUACUGGUGGUCUCGAGGGAGGUAGGGGUCGAUGGAACUUCCGGUGGAGCGGUGAAAUGCGUAGAUAUCGGAAGGAACGCCGGUGGCGAAAGCGAUCGACUGGACCUCUUCUGACGCUGAGGCGCGAAAGCCAGGGGAGCGAACG
rnacentral:rRNA from 1 species